UGAAAAUCAGGUUAGUGGCGGACGGGUGCGUAACACGUGGGCAACCUGCCCUGCUUUUCGGAAUAACGCCGGGAAACCGUCGCUAAUGCCGAAUGAUAUGAGAAGAAGGCAUCUUCUUUUCAUCAAAGAAUUUCGAAGCAGGAUGGGCCCGCGCCGGAUUAGCUGGUUGGUGAGGUAACGGCUCACCAAGGCGACGAUCCGUAGCCGACCUGAGAGGGUGAUCGGCCACACUGGAACUGAGACACGGUCCAGACUCCUACGGGAGGCAGCAGUGGGGAAUAUUGCACAAUGGGCGAAAGCCUGAUGCAGCAACGCCGCGCGAGCGAUGAAGGCUUUCGAGUCGUAAAGCUCUGUCGCAGGGGAAGAAAAAGACGGUACCCUGUGAGAAAGCCCCGGCUAACUACGUGCCAGCAGCCGCGGUAAUACGUAGGGGGCAAGCGUUAUCCGGAAUUACUGGGCGUAAAGGGUGCGUAGGCGGCUUUUCAAGUCAAGGCUUAAAGGCUAACGGCUCAACCGUAGUAAGGCCUUGAAACUGGAGAGCUUGAGUAUCGGAGAGGAAAGUGGAAUUCCCAGUGUAGCGGUGAAAUGCGUAGAUAUUGGGAGGAACACCAGUGGCGAAGGCGACUUUCUGGACGAUGGCUGGCGCUGAGGCACGAAAGCGUGGGGGGCAAACAGGAUUAGAUACCCUGGUAGUCCACGCCGUAAACGAUGAGUACUAGGUGUCAGGUGUCAAAGCUUGGUGCCGCAGUUAACACAGUAAGUACUCCGCCUGGGGAGUACGCUCGCAAGAGUGAAACUCAAAGGAAUUGACGGGGACCCGCACAGGUAGCGGAGCAUGUGGUUUAAUUCGAAGCAACGCGAAGAACCUUACCUAAGCUUGACAUCCCGUUGACCGGGGCUUAAUCGCCCCUUUCCCUUCGGGGACAGCGGAGACAGGUGGUGCAUGGUUGUCGUCAGCUCGUGUCGUGAGAUGUUGGGUUAAGUCCCGCAACGAGCGCAACCCUUGUUUUUAGUUGCCAGCGGUUUGGCCGGGCACUCUAAAAAGACUGCCGAGGAUAACUCGGAGGAAGGUGGGGAUGACGUCAAAUCAUCAUGCUCCUUAUGCUUAGGGCUACACACGUGCUACAGUGGCUGUUACAAAGGGUUGCGAGGCCGCAAGGCGGAGCCAAUCCCAUAAAAACAGUCUCAGUUCGGAUUGCAGGCUGAAACUCGCCUGCAUGAAGUCGGAGUUACUAGUAAUCGCGAAUCAGCAUGUCGCGGUGAAUGCGUUCCCGGGUCU
rnacentral:rRNA from 1 species